GACGAACGCUGGCGGCGUGCUUAACACAUGCAAGUCGAACGGUGAAGCCCUUCGGGGUGGAUCAGUGGCGAACGGGUGAGUCACACGUGAGCAACCUGCCCCUGGCUCUGGGACAACCACUGGAAACGGUGGCUAAUACCGGAUACGACCCGCCUCGGCAUCGAGUGUGGGUGGAAAGUUUUUCGGCUGGGGAUGGGCUCGCGGCCUAUCAGCUUGUUGGUGAGGUGAAGGCUCACCAAGGCGACGACGGGUAGCCGGCCUGAGAGGGCGACCGGCCACACUGGGACUGAGACACGGCCCAGACUCCUACGGGAGGCAGCAGUGGGGAAUAUUGCACAAUGGGCGAAAGCCUGAUGCAGCGACGCCGCGUGAGGGAUGACGGCCUUCGGGUUGUAAACCUCUUUCAGCUCCGAAGAAGCGAAAGUGACGGUAGGAGCAGAAGAAGCACCGGCUAACUACGUG
rnacentral:rRNA from 1 species